rnacentral:tRNA from 1 species
CAUUAAGAAGCUUUAAUAGCACUAGCCUUUUAAGUUAGAGAUGGGGCCUAUAAGCCCCCUUAAUGA